AAGAAUUGGCUAUUAUGCUUGAUACUAAUGCCGAAUAUGAGAAUGUUGUACUUGAAAAAUGUAGGUGAACAUGACAAGUGUAUUCGGCUUAGGGCAUAAAGGAUAUGAAAAUUUGGUAUUUAUUUUUGAUUGCGUGUGUAUGACCAUGGAUAAUUGGCUGCACAAAUAUUAUGAAUACAUAAUGUAUGAUAAAUUUAUUAAGCUACAAAACAUUAUACAUGAUCGGCCAAUGUAAAUUAUUUGAGUAAAGUAUAUCUUGAUGGUACAUUUCGGCUAGUAUAAAAUGUAUAUGGAUUUCGUAUGACUAUGUUUAAUUUGGGAAGUAAAUUGUUUGAUUUAGCUCAAGAGCCUAGAGGAUCAAAGUUGGAUAAGGGAAAGGAAAAAGUGAUCGAAUAGCCGUCGUAAUCAUUCGGCAACUUCCGAGGUAAGUUUUAAGUGAUUAAACGUUGAGUAAAUUCAAUCAUAAUAGGACAUAAUGAGUUGAUUUAAUAAGAUAUUAUGUGGCCAUGAUAUGUCUUAAACUCAAAUGGUAAGUUCAUAAGUGUUUGGACUAGGAAAUUUAAGAGCAAAUUGUAAUAACUUGCUUAUGACAGCGGCAGUAACGUGAUUUUAGAAAAUCACUAUAAAUUGUUGGUGUGAAAUUAUAGGCUGAAUAAAAUAUGUAAUCAAAGCUUAAUUAGUCUAGUUUCUUAUAAAAGAGACCGUGUAAGCAAAGAAAUUUUCUAUAAAGAGAUAUUUAAAGUUGUGUGAGACAGUGUCAGAAUGACUCCGAAAUCCCCUGUUCUAUUUUUAGAAAAUCAUUAUAAUUUGUACAAAAAUGGUUAUAUGAUAAAAUUUAUAUGCUUAGAGUCCUUAAUGAGUCUAGUUUCAAAUGAAAUAAAAUAGAACAUAUUUUGAAUUCUGUACAAUGAUAAAAUUGAUUCGUAGUGAAGAGUGGUCAGAUUAGUUAAACAGUGAAACAGGGGAAACUUUAAGAAAAAUAUGGUAUUGAUUGGCCAAACCUAAAAUUCUGAAAAUUUUAUGGCUGGAAGAUAUAUGAGUCUAUAUUCAGGGAAAAUUAACGGAAAUUGAUUUUGAGUUUUGUAGCUCCAGUUAUAAAUAAUUUAGUGACUAUUGCGCAGGAAAAACAGCUUGUAGUGAAUAUAUGAAUUUGUUGUAAACAUUGAUGAAACUAUUUGAGUUGCUUAUAAGCUAUUGCUGAAAUUGAUGUACAAGAUAAAUAUAUAUGUGGUAAAGCCGAAUGGCAAAUGUGAAAUAUGUAUGAGAUAUGUAUAUGUGGUAAAGCCGAAUGGCCAAUGUGAAAUAUGUAUUAGAUAUGUAUAUGUGGUAAAGCCGAAUGGCUAAUGUGAAAUAUGUAUGAGAUAUGUAUAUGUGGUAAAGCCGAAUGGCAAAUGUGAAAUAUGUAUGAGAUAUGUAUAUGUGGUAAAGCCGAAUGGCUAGUGUGAACUAUGUAUGAGAUAUGUAUACGUGGUAAAGCCGAAUGGCUAAUGUGAAAUAUGUAUGAGAUAUGUAUACGUGGUAAAGCCGAAUGGCUAAUGCGAAAUAUGUAUGAGAUAUGUAUAUGUGGUAAAGCCGAAUGGCUAGUGAUUCGGCUAGUGUGAAAUAUGUAGGAGAUGUGUGUAUAUUGUGGCCGAAUGACCAAAUGUGAAAGGUGUGUAUUAUUAGAUAUUUGAUGAGGCAAAUGAAUUACAAAUAUGACAGUCGAUGUGAAUGCUGUAACAUGUGAAUAAAUGUACAUGAAACUUGGAAAUGUAUUCCGGGUAAGACCCGAUGACUACGUGUGGAGAUUAUGUCCGGGUAAGACCCGAUGACUACGUGUGGAGAUUUUGUCCAGGUAAGACCUGAUAACUACGUGUGGCGACUAUUCGAGCUAAAGGUUUCGCUGAAGAUUAGAGUAAAGCAUAAGAUUAUACGACCUCACAGUAACGAUUGGUAAUAAAUACGUUCAAUGCGUUAAGCUGGUCAGGUAUGUAUUCUGAGAUUAUAUUUAAGCUUGAUUUGGACUAAAUCACAAGGUCGUUAUGUGAUGCAUAUGUGAGUAAAGCAAUAAGACUGUUCUAUGAUUAUUGUGCGUUUGGUCAAUGUGGAAAGUUAGGUGAAAAUGUGUAAUGUACCUAUGUUUAUAAGAGAUCACUAUCAAGUGAGAAUUUAUCUGCCUAUUAUAUAUGAUGAGAUGGGCAUAUUCGGUAAAGGGAUGGUAUGCCAGAAGGAAGAGUGAAAUAAAAAUACGAACAACUAUGUUAUAAUUUGAUUGUUAUCUGUUGACACUGCUUAAAACUUACUAAGCAUUGUAAUGCUUACUCCGUUUACUUUGUUUCCUCUAUUUUAUAGAUCUCAUUUGGAAGCUACAGGCUCGGGGAUCGUCAGCAACUAGUCACACUAUCACUAUCCACUGCUUGUUACUGUUAUGUUUUGAAUUAUUUUAUGGCAUGUAAAGAAUAGACCAGUGGCCGAAGAAUAUUUUGGUUAAUGUAUAUAAGCCAUGCGAAAAUGGCAUCUUUUAAAUGUGUACUUAUAGCAGUUAAAUUGUAUCCCUGACUGUCUUUAGUAUUUACCUAAAGGAACUUUCUUUAUAAAUAAAAUACUCAAAAUUUUUACUGUUCGGAUAUGAGUUUCAAGUCCGGUAAUGCCCCUUUACCUAUUCCGGCGACAGAUACGGGAUAGGGGUGUUACAUUUUAUUGGUAUCAGAGCUACAGUUUAGUCGAUUCUAGGACUAACGUAGCACGCGUGAGUCUAUUUAUACAUGCCAUAAAGUGAUAAAGUGAUAGUGUGAUGAUUUUUGACUAUUAAAAUGUGUUUGUUGUAUUGUAAUGAAUUUUGAUCCCGAUCGAGCUGUAGCAAGCUUCUGACUAUGAGAAUUUGCGAUAUAACUUCACUUGGAUAUGCUUAAAUUAUUAAGUUGAUCAGGUACGUAUCAUGUACUCGUAUUUGAAUUUUGAUAUGGAUUGAAUUAUAAGGGUAUAAGUGAUGCAAUUUUGAAAGAGUGUUACGACUAUAAAUGUGAUCUUUGUAUGUGGCUAUGGAACUGAAAGUUGAAUGGUCGAUAAGCAUGUUGUGUUUGUAUUCAAGUAAUGUAAAUGAUAUACUAAUGUGUAUUGUUAUAUAUGUAUAUGUGCAUGAGAAUUGAGAGUUAUAUAUCCGGGCUAAGUCCCGAAGAGCAUUCGUGCUAGUGAUAUAUCCGGACUAAGUCCCGAAGAGCAUUCGUGCUAGUGAUAUAUCCGGGCUAAACCUCAAAGGCAUUCGUGCUGGAAUUAUGAGGCACUGUGUGUGCAAGUUCUUCAAUCGAGCACUAUGUGUGCAAGUUCUUCAAUCGAGCGCUAUGUGUGCGAAAUCAGUCAGUGGGCACUGCAUAUGCGAAGUGUGUUUCAUGUAUGACCUCGUGUGAGACGAUGGCAUUGAUUUGUAAUAGUAAGUAAGACCUAAAGAGAAAAUUCGUUAAACGGACUAAACACUGGUGAACUAAUUAGAGUCGGAGAUUAUACAACAUUGUGCCAAAUUGGUAAUGAAAUAAGUUCGAGACAUUAAAUUGACAAGGUAUGUGAUAUAUAUACAUUAUAAAUACGAGAUUCUCGGUAUAUGCAAUUAUAUGUGCUAUUGUGAAUAAACACUAUUUUGUUAAUCAUGUUCAAGAAAUUAUUUUGACUAAGUUUCGACAUUUGAAAGUUGGUAAGAAUUUCUGAUGAAUGGUGAUAAUUUUGGAUAUAUGAGUUAUGUGCUAAGAAUAAAUCUCAUGCCAGAAUAUUAUAUUAGGCUUUAUGCUUAUUCGACUGUAUACGGGUAAUGUUAACUAAGAAAGAAUGUGCUAAAUGAAAUAAAUGUUCAGGUACGUGGAAGUUGAUUUUUCCUUUGAAAAUAAGUUAAGUUAAAUAUUGAUGCAAGAUGUUAACAUAAUCUCGUAUCAGCUUAUAUAUGUUGCUGAAUUGAGAAUUUAAAACUUUCAGCUACUGUAUCAGUGGUUACUUGAAAUAGCCGAAGAUAAAGGAUAGUAUUAAAUUCUUAUUGAUAGUGCUUUAUUGAAUGGGCGUGUGAAAGAUUAUCUAAGUUACAUGUAUAAAAAUAUAUAUAUAUAAAAUACUUUCAUAAGAUGUUAAAAUGAGUGUUGUCAUGAACCAAAUGAAUAUAUAUAUUUGAGUUAUUCAGGCCUUGUGCCUAGUAGGUUUGGGACCGGUGAAGUGUAUACUAGGCUAAUAGCCUAAUUAGUUGAUGGCUGUCGAGUUUAUUCAGACUUUGGGAUUAAGUAGGCUAGAACCUGUGUGUGGGGUUCGAGCCUAUACCUAGUAGGUUCAGACCGAUGAGUAAAUUGUGUUAUACCUAUGUGUGUUAUCACCGAAAUGAAAAGUAAGUGAGUAAAUGUCAAUUUUGUGGAUCUCUGUGAUUUAUUAUGAUCAAACUAAGAAAGUUUUGUUAGUUAAAGCACUGAAGCGUAAGUUCAGAGUAGGGGAAACUAGGUGGGAUCUAGAGAACACAACGAGAGAAAGUUACCCUAUCGUAUUUUCCGGUAAGAUUUUCGGGGACGAAAAUCCCUAAAUGGGGGCAGAGUUAUGACACCCUUAAUUUGACCCUAGUCGGAAAGUGGUUUCGGGACCACAAAACUGAGCCACAAAAAAAUAUUAAUCGUUAUAUUUUAUGCUUAUUAUUUAUGAAUAAGUAUGUGUGAAAAUUUCAUGCUUUAAUUUUGUCAUUUGGAUGUGAAAUAAAUAAAAAGGGGUUUAUGUGAAAAAUCUUGAAAAUGUCAUAGGUUAAUUGGUAGUGGCUAAAAAUUUGCAUGGUUUGAAGCAUGAGGGACUUGCAUGUCAAACAUUCCUUUUUUCUUGGUAGUGGACGGCAAGGAUGGGCAUGAAUGACACAUUUUGGCAUUUUGUAUGUUAUAUUUUAGUUAAAUAAUAUCAAAUAGUUUUAUAAUAAAUCAAGUUAUUAUAUGUCAUAAGGGAUAAGAGGAAUUAAAUAAUUAAAAGGGUGAGAAAAAAAAAACAAAGUUGGGUCUUUUCUUCUCCUCCAUUGCCGUAGCCUAAAGGGGGGGAAGAAAGUUUGGUUGCUUUGAUUUUUGGCUUAGAAGAUGGCUAGAAUUAGGUAUGUAUUGAAUGAUUCUUGAAAAUCUAUGCAUGUUUGAGAUGAUUAGUUCAAACUCUACUUAUCCCAUGGAUUAAACUUAGAAUUUUGAGGUUUGAGAUUCGGUCAAUAAGCUUGAAACUCAUAGUAGUUUGUUUUGGUAAGCUUGGUAUACGGAUGAUAGAUGUGUUUUGGUUUUGGUUUGAUAAUGAUGUUAAUGAUGGUGAUUUUCGGUCAUGCAUUAACUUAAAUUGUAAGUAUGAUUUAUGGUAUAAUUUGUGUGAUGGAAUGGUCUUGAGAUUUGGCUUGAUUAAAUGGGUAAAAUGCUAAGUGUUUUAAAGAUGAUGUAAUGGUUAUUUCGGUUUAUGUGAAGUAAAUAUAGAUGAUGGUUAUAAGCUGUUUUAUGAUUUGAUAAUGGUGAUUAAAUCUUGUAGUUAAGUGUUUAGAUAUAUAUAUUAAUAAUGAAUUUAGUUGUACUUGCUAUGUGAGAAAUGUGCAAUGCUAUAGGUAUUUGAUUAUUAGAUAUGGUUAAUUUAAGUUGAUUUGUAAUGGUAUGAUUGCAUUGAUGAAAUGGUUUGGAAAUGGUGGGAAGAAUUGGCUAUUAUGCUUGAUAUUAAUGCCGAAUAUGAGAAUGUUGUACUUGAAAAAUGUAGGUGAACAUGACAAGUGUAUUCGGCUUAGGGCAUAAAGGAUAUGAAAAUUUGAUAUUUAUUUUUGAUUGUGUGUGUAUGACCAUGGAUAAUUGGCUGCACAAAUAUUAUGAAUACAUAAUGUAUGAUAAAUUUAUUAAGCUACAAAACAUUAUACAUGAUCGGCC
rnacentral:lncRNA from 1 species